rnacentral:rRNA from 1 species
CCUACGGGAGGCAGCAGUGGGGGAUAUUGCACAAUGGGGGAAACCCUGAUGCAGCGACGCCGCGUGAGUGAAGAAGUAUUUCGGUAUGUAAAGCUCUAUCAGCAGGGAAGAAAAUGACAGUACCUGACCAAGAAGCCCCGGCUAACUACGUGCCAGCAGCCGCGGUAAUACGUAGGGGGCAAGCGUUAUCCGGAUUUACUGGGUGUAAAGGGAGCGUAGACGGUUAUGUAAGUCUGGAGUGAAAGCCCGGGGCUCAACCCCGUCCGGCCGUUGAAACUGGGGGCCUUGAGUGGGCGAGAAGAAGGCGGAAUGCGUGGUGUAGCGGUGAAAUGCAUAGAUAUCACGCAGAACCCCGAUUGCGAAGGCAGCCUUCCGGCGCCCUACUGACGCUGAGGCACGAAAGUGCGGGGAUCGAACAGGAUUAGAUACCCGAGUAGUC